AAUUGAUAGUCUUCUUUCAAUAUUUGACAGCUGCCUUAUGGGGCGGUGCCAAAGAAACAAAAGAAGCAAUUUACAUAGACGUGCUUGCUAGUAGAAGCUACUACAAAAGAGGAUAAUCAAGUUAUUUUUGAUGAAGAGGAUGCACAUGGUUGCCCCUUGCAUGCGUUCGUUACUUUCGUUCCGGCUACCGGAGGAAUUUUGGUUAUCGGGUCUCUUGCUGGUCUAGCUACACAUAACCUUUCUAUCUCGGCAUAGGUGGAAGUCUAGAAUUCUCCUUACUGAAUUGUGGUUGGAGAUUCACAGGAAUCGUAGUUUUUUUUAUAUAUUUGGGUGCCUUUAUACAAGGUAACUUUGCUUCAGAGUAUAUAUCUUACUUCAUUUAAAACAUAUAUGUUAUUUAAAAAGUAUUUAAUCUUUCUUUUAAGAUACAAUUUCUUUUUAUGUUUUCCGAAACAAUUCUCUUAGAACAUGUUAAGUUGAUUAGCAAUCUUUGUGAGAAUAUUUGUAAAGUUGACAAUUGGUCUAUACUAUUUUUAUAGUGGUUAUUGGUGACUUGUGGAAACAACAUAAUGUUCAAAUGGAAGACUGCCUAGUGCUUUUAUGAA